rnacentral:rRNA from 1 species
ACGCUCGACACCUAGGCAGCAGUGGGGAAUAUUGCACAAUGGGGGAAACCCUGAUGCAGCGACGCCGCGUGGAGGAAGAAGGUCUUCGGAUUGUAAACUCCUGUUGUUGGGGAAAAAGAGGAUGGUACCCAACAAGGAAGUGACGGCUAACUACGUGCAGCAGCCGCGGUAAUCUGAGCGGGCUGGCAAGGC